UACGGAGGAUCCAAGCGUUAUCCGGAAUCAUUGGGUUUAAAGGGUCCGUAGGCGGUUUAAUAAGUCAGUGGUGAAAGCCCAUCGCUCAACGGUGGAACGGCCAUUGAUACUGUUAAACUUGAAUUAUUAGGAAGUAACUAGAAUAUGUAGUGUAGCGGUGAAAUGCUUAGAGAUUACAUGGAAUACCAAUUGCGAAGGCAGGUUACUACACGAAAAUUGACACUGAGGCACGAAAGCGUGGGGAUCAAACAGG
rnacentral:rRNA from 1 species